AAGAAAGAAAGAAAGAAAGAAAGAAAGAAAGAAAGAAAGAAAGAAAGAAAGAAAGGUGUUUGGAGGGUUUCCUCCAUACUUCACCAUGGCCCUCAGAGGGAAGCCGAGUACCUGGACCCCUGGAGGAAUGCCUCCAGCCGGCACAGUGACACUGUGGGUGUCUUUACAGACAUUCUGCUUGCAAUAGUUUGAAACUGCAGUCUCCAGAGAGACCUUAGUCCUCUGCUGGCCUCCAACAUGAGUGGCUGAACUGUGCAUAUGCCGUCUCUUUUAAUUCUAGCCUCCAAGUAAGUGUGAAGGAGUAUGUCGUUUUCGUUUCGACUGUGGAGGUCAGAGGACAGCUUUCCGGAAUCCUUUCUCAUGUUCUACCCUGACUCAGGUUCGGAUUCAGGACACCAGGUUUGAGCAGCAGUUAUCACUACCUGAUGAGUCCCUCAUCUUUCACUUUUGCAUCUUAUUUCCACGUGGGCAGUCAACACUUAGUGAAGAUCUGUUUCCCUUCUAUCUUCCCAGAAUGCCCUUCCCCAGACCCGGAUCCUCUAGAAUAGUCACAGAGCUGAGUUGGGUUUUAACCCCAUACAACAUGAGCGCUCCUCUCUCCUCGCUGAGCUCUGAGUACCAGCUGAACUAGGUACUCCGACGCAACGCAUGCGCAGGGAAGUGCCACGCUGUUAUUUCUCUCACAUCCACGAGGGGUCGCACAACGCCUUCCAGAGUUCGCCCCAAGAACCUGCGCCUUAGUAAAUCCCUUCCCUCCGGAACCUCCCAUCUCUCCCAACACCACCUUCGGGUUUAAAGUUCCAGAGCUGUAUUCCUGGUUGUCCCAGAAACCUAUCCGUGCAGCCGCUUGGCGUGAUUUAACUGAGCUAUGGGAAGCAUGCAGUCUGACUCCUUCAUUCAGUACCCUAUACUGUGCUUUCCUCGUCAGCAAAAUGAUAAUCCCCACUGCGCUGAGCGCUAUCCAAGAGAGUGGGGAGCCUCAUCUCAUUUUGAGCAUGGUGUCCAGCACAUUCCAGGAGCCCGGUAUACCCCAGGUGCCUACUGAAAAAGUCAUUUUACCUAGAUGUCAAACUCUCCCUGUAAAACUCACCAUGUCCUCCUUGGCUUUUGUCUUCGUGGGCACCAGGGGCAGCAAGGUUUCCUGAGUGAGAUCUCUAUAAUGGAGGCAGACUUCAGGCCCUCAAGUCAGACGUAUACAUCGUUGCCAAUGUCUACCGUUGCUGGGUACAUCCAAGGAGUCUAUGGUCCAUCCAGACCUCAGACUGAUUGACCCUCAGCGUCUUCUGACCCCAGAACCUUGUCUCAGCCUCUUGAGGAGGAAAUGGAGGACUGGGCUAUCUCGGUCCCUCUCUUUCCAGACAAACCAUAUAGUCCACCAUGUCCAGUUUAUGUGGAGAUACGUGUAGGGUGUUCUGGGAAUGUUGGUAUCUCUGUCCCCUAACUUCUGUGGCACCCAGAUGCUGAAGCUGGGGUGAGGCAGGAGAAUGCCUCCCAUGGUUGGGGUUUUGCUGAGGCAAGGCUCUGAACUCCAAUGUUCAGCAGUCAAGCUCCCACAGCACAGCCUUGAUAAACUAAGGCAUUAUGAUACAUCACAGGCUAGGAUGAUACACCAAGAAAGAAGCCUGGCUGACAAUUCCAACACUAGCCUGUCACACCUUUUACCCUGUUUUUUGGUACUCUGGUACAGGCUGACUCAUCUUCUCCAGGACCGCAGGGUUUGUUUGUGCUCCUGGUAACUUGAAGGGUGGAGACAGGGCUCUUGGAUGUGGUUUCUAAGAGGUGAGGUGGGGUAGAAGGUAGACAAAGACGAGCUACUGGUUGUACACAGCAGAAAACCAGGCUGGCUAAUUCUGCCCAGUGAGAAUUUUCUGGAAGGGUGACUGAGCAGUCCACAGAAUCACCAGGUAAACUAAGAAGACCCAUCUCUUAAAUUGUCCAGGAACCCAUAAGACUGCAGUAGAACCACAGGAAAGGACUCUAGAGGACCGUCCUGCUGCCCCCAGGGUCAAGUUGCCCCUGGAUGCUGUUGCUGGGGACAUGAUGAAUGGCAUCUCUGAUGGCCCUGGCUUCUCAGGGGGCCCAGGUUCAGUGCCCACGAACUCUGUAGGGAUGUUGUGAGGGAUCUUUGGCCUGUAGGGGGUUCCCAUUCUGGAUUAGCCCCACCUCCACCAUGGUGUGUAGCUGCUAAGCAACCAAAACCAACAAACACCAACCUCUGUAAUUUCCCUGAAUUUGCCAUUGCCAAGAGGCAGUCUCCAACCUGCCUCCCGUAGGCAGCUGGCUACUCAGAGUACCGCUUGCAGAUGUGGGUCAGAGACCUCACGAAGCUCGGUGAAGCCGCCCAGACAAGUUGAGUGCUUCUAGAGAAUUCCUACGCCAGCCUUCUCUCCAUGGCUAGGGCCAUUGAACUCUGUCUCAGGCAUGGUUUAAAUCUUUAUGUAGAUUACAUUGGGUCUUAUAUCUGUUUUGUUUUGUUUGUUUGUUUAUAUGUGUGUACGUGUGCGCGUGCACACAAAUGCCAAUGCUGACACACAUGUACAGCCCAGAGGAAUACACCAGUGGCUUGUUUGAUUGCUCUCUUCUUAUUUCUGGGAAUCUACCUGUCCCCACCAUUAGAGCACAGCCAUGCCCAGCCGGGGGGCCUGGGGAUCCAGGCUCAGGUCCUUGUACUCUCAUCUCUCUGGCCCCUGAGAAUUAAUUUUAAAGUUUGACAGCAAUGACUAGGAUUAGACAGGUAAGCUGUAACAGGAAAUAAGAAGUAUUGAAUGUCUUGGGAGAGAAAGGGGGAAUGCGAUUGAAGGACCUGAAUGGGGAGCUAUGUGACCGGCGGGUAGAAUCCUCUGAGUGACUCAGAACUCCUGUCCCUGACUCAGCCCACCUUAGGAGCAAUGACCUCACACUGCAAUCUGUGUCCUCUUCCUGUCCCACUUCACUGAUCUCCCCAUUUCCUCGGCCCCUCAGUUAGUGUGUCCUUGGGGCUCAAGGCAAUAUGAAGUCUCAUGCUACACUGCUCAGUCUUGCCUACACAGCCUAGCUCCCAGGUCUCCUGGAUCUGGAGCCUGCAGACUCAACUUGGCUACCUUUCCCUGGGCCACAGUCAUGCUGGUCCUUGCCCCCACCCCCAACCCCCACCCCACACACACCUGCCGGUGAGGCCUGUGCACUGGCUGGUCCACACUGUGAAUGGACUUCUGCAUCCCCGCUGCAGGCAUGCCCAGGCAUGUUCUUGCGGUGAGGCAGAGAGCUGAUAAGGCCUCAGCUUAUCUCCCUGAACUCUGUGAAUGUUUCCCUGGCCAAAGAAAACCCAUGGCUGAGGCCAGAGUCCAUAUUGGGAGACAGCAGAAAUUGGUGGUAUACUCUGAGACAGGGGGAUUGGAGAACGUGAGACCUGCCAUGAAGGCCCGUGCUCCGAGUCCUUUGUGCCCAGUAGAUCUGCCUCUGCCAGUGUCUCUGUCUGUUGGAUGCCCUCUCAUUUUUGCCCUGUUAAGCGUGUAUGCCAGGCUUGCCUUGUGCCAGGCCCAGUUCUAGUCCCUGGAGUAUGCCAGCACACAGUAGGAUUUGUGCGUGCAGCACUUACAAUUUAGAGAUAAUGACACCUCAUAAACAGGAAAACCAACACUGGGCAGGGCUACCAAAAAAAAUGAUCCGAAGAAGGUGCUGUUCCUUCUUCGAUGAGGUAGGCAGGAAAGGGCUUGCUGGCGUGUUUGAACUGAGAGCUCAUGAAAAAGAGGGAGCCAAGCCCACCGGUGGGAAAGAAAGUUCCAGGUCAGGACAGUGCAAAGAACCAAAGUCUUGGAACAGUAGCCUGUGUAUGCGAAACACAUGGCUACAUGGCUAGACCAGAGUCAAUGAGAGAUAGACAGUGUGCAUGUUCGCAUGCAUAUUGUAGCAUCUGGUGAGGACUCUGGACUCUAUUCCACGUGUAAGAAUAGUUGUCUGAAGCAGUCGAUAGGGCAGGGAGAAGCAACCUGAGUUUGUCAGGAGGUUCCUGUCUGCACAAGAAAAAUGGGUCAGGGAGGGGAGAAGGAGAGCAGGGGCCCAGUUAGGAAAUGUUGCCACCUCGGAGGUAAAGCUGGUAAUAGUGGUGGCCCAGGAGGUAGCCACGCUCAGGAGUCACUUUGACUCUGUGACCCUGGUGUUUGCCAGUGCUGGGGAGGACAGGAGACAGGAAGGGGAUGGGACUGAUACUUUGAACCUGAACGCGUGGGCAAACAGAGUUGCCACCUGUAGACCUGGUAGGCACUGUUUGAGAUCCACCAGUUCUGCCGAGAGGAAGGUACGUCUAGGCCCUAGACACAGAGCCUGGUUUGUGAGCGAUCACGGGGCCUGUCGUAGUGAUUGGGGGAAAAGGAAGCACAAUGCCAUCAUCUGCCUCACAGGGUCAUCUAUGUCACUGUGCUCAUUCACUCAUUCAGUAAGACUUGAGCGAGCUCCAGACGUAAUAAGCCAGACACUUGCGCGGGUUCCCUGGGAAGAAGAGAACCCUAACGAGACAGUGUUGCAGGCUGGAAACAGUGUUGCCUUGCUUUCUUGAGACAGUGCCUGGAAACAAAGUAGCUGCAUUUUUCUACGUUGUUUCUUGACUUUUUGGUCAGGAGACAGAUAACCAGGAAGCUAAUGUAUGUAAAAGGGGCUACUGUAAGGCCAGUGUGGUGCUAUAUACCAAUCAACCCAUUACAGGAAAUAGAGGCAGAGAGAUCAAGAGUUCAAGAUCAGCCUGAACUGUGUAGUAAGACAAUACCUUGUCUUAAAUAAA